rnacentral:rRNA from 1 species
CAGAGGGGGCAAGCGUUGUUCGGAAUUACUGGGCGUAAAGGGCGCGUAGGCGGCCUUCUAAGUCGAACGUGAAAUCCCCGGGCUCAACCCGGGAACUGCGUCCGAGACUGGAAGGCUCGAAUCCGGGAGAGGGAUGUGGAAUUCCAGGUGUAGCGGUGAAAUGCGUAGAUAUCUGGAGGAACAUCGGUGGCGAAGGCGGCAUCCUGGACCGGUAUUGACGCUGAGGCGCGAAAGCCAGGGGAGCAAACGGGAUUAGAUACCCCGGUAGUCCUGGCCCUAAACGAUGAAUGCUUGGUGUGGCGGGUAUCGAUCCCUGCCGUGCCGAAGCUAACGCAUUAAGCAUUCCGCCUGGGGAGUACGGUCGCAAGGCUG